UAAUAAUAAAAGCCCAAGUCUUUUUAUUUACC
rnacentral:tRNA from 1 species